AUGGUGCAAGAUGGGCAUAGAGAAUUUCGAUGUGUGGCUUGGGCAUUUGGACCUUGUAUUGAAGUUGUUCCUCACAUUCGACCUGUAAUAAGUGUGGAUGCUUCAUUUCUAUCGGGAAGGUACAAGGGAAGGUUGCUAAUGGCUUGUGGAUAUGAUGCUAAUAACCAACUAAUAUCUCUUGCAUUUUCCAUUCUGGAGAAAGAGGAUGCAUCAAACUAG
rnacentral:rRNA from 1 species